ACGUGUACGGAGAAUAGAAGCACCUCGAGAGUGUUAUUCAAAGGCAAUGACAAAGCAUUUUACUUGGACGGAUUCGGUCAGACUGGGCCCAAAAUGAAGCCUUGGAUGGUGACUAGAUGUACCAAGCACACAAAAACGCAUAAAUGUUUGACACGGUUUCAACACGUUCUUGGUUCUCUUCGGUGGAGAACCAAGAGUCAAUGAAGUCUUCAUUUAAAUGACUGAAUAAUUUAUGACCAAAGUGAACGAGACACGUGCCAGUUAAAUUAUAAUAUAUAGGACAAACGAUACAGUCUAGGACAGUACCAGUCGCGGCGAUGCAGUUUAGAAAGGCAAACGCUGCUUUUUACUCAGCAGAAUCAGAGAGAAAAGCUCGAAAAGUUAACUGAAAUAAAUGUCCUACAGAAACUCGCGAGAGACUUAAUUUCGUCCUUAUGUCUUGGAUUGAAUCAAUCCCACAAAAGAAUGACAGCGUCUUCUGGUGGCGAAACAGCGGACAGCCUCAGCCCAACCCCCGCCACUGUUUGUCCCCGUGUUGCGGGCCCCGUUGCAAAUGAGACCCGUCUCUCUCACUAUCCCACGGCAGGGGGCAGCUAGUUCCAUCGCCAAUAGCAACGGGAUGGCCACGUCCCUCACCACAACCGCCAUCUGCACAAGAUCAAGCUCCUCCCCUACUGGAAUGCAGUAAAUAACAUGACCUCUGAGAAAAUACAGUAUUAUGGUAAAUAUGCUUCACAGCAACACAUGUUUUUAAACAAAUAGACUACCAUAACUAAAACUGGCAAUUGUGUAUAUGUGUGUGUCCAUAUAUUGUGAAAUGUUGUAAUCUUUAUUAUAUAUUUUGUAUUAAUAUGUUGCAGUUUA